ACUACGUCUCCGGCAAAUAUAUAUUUGCGUAGCACACGGGGCGCCGUCGCCGGCUUCUUUUGACUUUCUCUCGGGCUUUAUUCUUUUCCCUGACCUGUUGGAUUAAACUCAGUCAAAGAACAACCAAACAAAACUGUAAUCCAUCCCAGCCAACGAGACCCAACCCCGCCAUGGCUUCCGCACAACCGCCACUCAAAGCCAACACCACAAACCCACCAACUGCAACUCCACUCCCUCGCCAUCUGUUGACCGUAGACGCCACGCUUUCUCACGCGCUUCAUACCCUCACCAAGCCCAUCCUUCCGCAUUCUUUCCUCCUCCUCCUCGAAUACUCCGCUGACUUCCGCCUUUCCUUCCCCGUUUCCCUCGCCCUUCUCCUCGCCCCUCCCCUUUCCCCUCUUCGCUUCUCCUUCCUCCUCCCGUUCGUCGUCGGACUUCUUCUCGACCUAGUUUUCAUCGGCUUCGUCAAGACUCUUUUCCGCCGCUCCCGCCCUCACUACAACCCUUCUAUGUCCCCCGUCAUAUCCAUCGACAACUUCUCAUUUCCCAGUGGUCACGCCACCCGCGUCUUCUUCGUUGCCGCCUCCGUCUCGCUUUCCGCAGCUGCCAUUGAGAGAUUUGCCCUCACAUUCUCGUCUAAGCCGUGGGGGGAGAGUGGAAAUGGUUGGUUCUUGGACAGAUGGAUUCCGGAUGACUACAACAAGGAGGACAUGACGCGAGCCAUUGUUUUUGGGGUUUGGAUAUGGGCGAGCUUGACUGCCAUCUCUAGGGUUCUUCUUGGGAGGCAUUUCCUGUUGGAUGUACUUGCAGGGGCGUGUUUCGGGAUUCUCGAGGCUCUCUUCGUGUUCCGGUUCCUAAGGUUUUGAGAGAUGGUUCUCAAGGUGAGCAAAUUAUUCAGGAUUACAUUGAGGCUUAGGAGGAUAUUUUGGACUUGAUAAGAACUCGGCUGUGGUGGCAAGGUGAUUAUUGGCUUAAGGUGAGUGACAUGUAGAAAGGUUGGUGAGAUGGUGUGGGGUAUGUCACAAAACACUGGUUUGCCACUCUUAUUGCUAACUACCUGACCGUGAGUUCAUCUCAACGUGGACUCUGUUUCUGGACUCCCAAAGACAACAAGAGGCUACAGUUCCUUAUUUAUAUUGGUUGAUUGGUUUUGUUUGAUGGUUCAUUUUAUUCCAUGUUCUAGAACUCUGAUAUUGAUGCUUCCCACAUGGUGGAAUUAUCUUUCAGAGAGGUGGCACGUUUCUACUUAUUUCCCUAAAGUAUUGUGUCAGACAUGGAUGUGAAGUUCGUGGGUCACUUUUGAAGGCAUUUAGUGAGAGAAAUGGAAGACGACUCUGUUUUCAACCACCUUCCAUGCACAAAUGGAGGGCAAAUAUCUGAUAGGAGUCCUGGUAACUUUUUACGGUGUAUUGUAGGAUACUUGUGAAGGUACGACAUUAAGUGUUCCUAAUGAAAAUUACCCUUCAAGACUUCUAUGUAGUGCACCACUGAAAGGACUCCAUCUGAAGCUGUCUAUAGACAUAGUCACAGCAUGUAGUUAACCUUGUUCAAUUGCCAUUUGUUUCUAAGCUAGUGAAGAUGUGAUGGCUUUGCUGAUCACACAAGAAAGAUAUGUGAGGAGAUGUAGGCAGCAAUCAGAACUCGCGAUGAACUUUAUGAGGAAAAUGCAAAUUGACACAAGAGGUUCAAGGAGUUUGCUACGGGUGAUCACAUAAUGGCGCAUUUCUGGAAUGAAAGUUUCCGUAACAGACUUAUCAUAAACUUAAAUCUGGAAAAGUUGGUCCCAGCAAGGUUGUUAGUGGCUCUAUAAAGGAUGAAUCAUGGACUUGAAAAUGGUUUUGCAACCGUAAAAAUUUAGGAGGAAAUUCAUGUCUCUCAUACCCUUGUCAUUGUCUGGGUCAUUGGGAAAGAGAGAAAAAUAAAGCUUUUGAAUACAUUUCUUCUCCCUUUGCUUGUGUUUGGAUCACUAGCUUAGGUCUAUCCUAUUUUGUUCAAGGGUUGCCCUCAAUACCAUGAGCUGAUUUCGUUGAUCUUAUUGAUCUUUCUCUUUGAGAGUUGGAGCUAUUUUUUUGUGUGUGAAUUCCCCUCAAUGCCCUUUAAUGCCUAUAUCCUCCAAAAAAAUUUUGGUCCUUGCUGGGCUGUAAUGAAGGUUAGUUCUGAUGCUUACAUAGCGGAUUGACCAUAUGAUAGUUCAAUUCAGCCUAAUAUUCAAUGUUGCAGAUUUGUUUGAUUUCCGUGGAUUUGAUGACAGUAGGGAACAACCUACAGUUGAUAAUUGGGCUGCUUAAUUGACCAAGAAGCCUAUAAAAGUGAUUCAAGAUGUGCUUGAUAUGAAGGAAGUGAAUCUCUAGGGGGGGUUUCUUUCAACUAUUGUUUGUCAAAUGGUUGAGAAAACCACAUUCUGAAAGUGCCUAAAUGCCUGAAGGCAACUGAAGAGGAUUUUCUUGUUGGAAUCAAGUUCUCUUUGCCCUGAAGGAAUUGAUGCGGGAGCAUGAUACAAAAUGGUAUAUUAAAAUAUGGUUUAGGUCUAACUUAGUAAUUAGUAUUUUUGUUAGUUGGUUUUCCAGAAUUAGUUUAAGAGUCUUUUGAAUUUUCUUGCAGAUCUAGUUGGAAUCUUUUUUAAUGUUAUUUGGGUACGAUUUUUAUUUUACUUUAAAAUUAAGGAUAUUUCAAGUUAUCUAUUAGUUUAUUAUUCACAACAGGGUGGUAUUUGUAGGCACUAUAAAUAUCUUGUACUCUUAAUUUGCAUCAGAUCAAUGGAAUAACAGACUUGGGUUUUCAGUCUGAAAUCUAAUCCCCAAAUUAUUCCUCUCCCUUCAUCAAAUUUCUACAAUUAUUUAUGGUAAAAGCCCAAAUGUGAUAUCAUUUCUAAGGGUCAUAUACAAUACCUUUUCCAUGAAGAUACGUACUUUUACUGAUACAAGGAACUGAUUGAUUAAUUGUUGCUUUCAACAAAUUUGGAUGAACAAAACAUGAUCAAGUUACUAUUCAGUCAUGGUAAUUUUAAAGAAAUAUGAAUUGUGGUUUGCUGUAAUAUUAUAUCUGAUUAAGUCAAAGAAGAUACCAACUGGAGAAACAAGGACAAUUAAAGAUGCAAGGGUUUUUCUUUUCCCCCUCUUCCACCUUUAUUUCAUGGAAUACCAAUUUUCCUCAAGGAUAAUCUUAUUCUAAAAAGCACGAAGUGAAAAAAAUACAGAGGUAAACGGUACUCUCUGGACUCAAACAUAAUUAAUAUUGCUUAAGGGACUUAACAUCUGUUGUUUCUUUUCUUUUUUCAUUUAUUAUCUUUCUCAAUAUGCAAUCUUAGAGAAGCUGGAGUAUUUAUAUCCUAAUGUGGUAGUAUAUUUAUUAUGUUAGUUUCUAGUCAUUUAAGGAAGGUGGCAGAGAGUGAGUGGUUGAGCAUCUGGAAUUUGGCAUGAGAUUUUUCUAUGGCUAUUAUGUAAUUACUCAUCCUAACCUGUGUCAUCUCUAUGAAAAAGGCCAGAAGAGAGUUGUCCUUGAUUGUUUGUCUAGGGAUCCUAGUUGAAGCUUAUCUAUGGCUCUCGAAGUUGAAUUUAUAAAUCGCCAGAAGAUGGUUUUGGAGCGGGACGGGAUAUUGUUGACUUGGAAGGAAUCCUUCAUUGUUAACAGGCUAAGCAAGCCUAUAUCUAGUUGAAAAGUGAACUGCACUUUAGUUAUAUAACUUCAGCUUUGGCCCAUUGUAUGAAUGAGUCAUAAGACCCUCCUCUAUUAAUGAAUUGUGCUUCUUAUUACUUUCUCGAGACUUUGCCCUGUUUCCAGACCAUCCAAGACUUCUGGAUGGUGAACUUUUUGAUCUGUUGAAAGCUGAGGAGACACAUGGUUAACUGCUGUUAAAUGCAUGCUAAUUUAUUGUUUAAUGGUUCCAUCUAAUUAUUAAAUGGUCAUGCUCUGACGGAUGAGGGAAAUUAUCCAAUCUUUUCCAUGGGGUUACAACCUUCAAAUGCCAAACUAAGCUGAAUUAUAAUUCUGAAAUAAAAUACUUUCGCUGAGAAAUAAUGGCAUGUUCAUUUAAAGAUAGUAUGUUUGUUGUGUUAGUCCAUUUUGUCUCAUAAACUUGACAUGGUUUCUUAAGAAACCAGCUAGAACAUCAUUUUGUAGUAUUUGUAUCUUGGCGAUGUCUGAAUGCAUUUAGCUUCCCAUCCACAGGGGUGGCAGCAAGCACUCAUCUGCUUUGCAGUCUCAUGAGUGGAUUAACUGCACCAAAUCAUUAAAUUAAGUGCAUGAACAGCUAUAGUCAACUACCUUGGUUAUUAUUAUUAAGUGAAAGAGGGAGGAAAAUGAAGUUGAUGAUCUUCAAUUUUUAAGCAAGGUCGUUUUUAUAACACUACUGUAGUAGAAGGUUGCAGAUACAUUAAGGAUAUUAGAUAUCAUUAUUAUGGAAUCCGAUUAGCAGGUGGUGUAAAGUGUGUUGACUUAUGGAACAAGAGGGAAAGAAAUUAAAAGAUGAAUGUUUUGGUGAAUUAAGUAUGUGCCGAGUAAAGUUCUUCAAGUUCAGGCCUCAUUGAAUCUCCUGUGCUUGAUGGGAUUUAUUUUGUCACUGUAUUUCUCUUGGGUGCUUCUGAAUUGGGAUUUAUCUAACAUAAUGCCCGUCAUUCAAGCAUCUCCUUUUAGUUGUGAUAAGCUUUAUCUGAUAAAGUCUGUGUUGAUUGAAUGAUUGAUUGAUUGCAACUUCAUAAACUUGCUGGAUUAACGGUGAUAAUGAUUGUUGUAAGUUGUUGCUUUGCAUUAUUGCUGUCUAUAUAUAUAUAUAUUGUGCUGAAAUAUGUGGAGCAUACCCAUAGGGAAAGAGGCCUAGACCAGUACUCAUGGUGAUUUAUUGAGUUUACGUACGGAACAUAUCCACCAUCGAACAUAUGAUUGAAAGUAUUUUUUUUCUUUAAAAUAUGAGAGGUGUGAUAUGUAUUAUUUAUAUAUAUUGCAUUCUUUCUUUGCCCUUUUUCUAUAAAUACUUGAGUAAUAAAAAUGAGUGUGAAUAUCAACAGUCGAAGUGAUAAAAUAUUGUUCCCUUUUUUUUUUUUUAACCUUGUUGGAUCGCUUCAGAUUGAGAACAGAUUAUGCAGCAAUGGCAUUGCUCAGAUUAUUAUUGAAUUCAUGUCCGUUUAUGCUCAAAAGAAGAGGGAUACAGUUUAUACGACUUCCAAAUAUGUUUCUACUGUGCAAUAACACUGUUUUAUACUGUUGAAUGAAUCCAAGGACACUCCGUGUCCAUAACUAUAACUAUUAGCCUUCAGACACCCAGCUGGAAUCCUACUAUGGAAGAUUAAGCUUUGAAUUUUUGGUCUAUUCUUAUUAUGCUGCUAUGGAUCUUGAGUGUGUUGUUUUUAAUGGAUGGUCCCCAGAUUGACCAUUGACUUGUGAUAGAAAGUUGUUCUUGGUUGAUUUCUUUGGAUCUUGAGUUGGAAUAUGAACUCGUACGUUAACAAGUAUACAUUAACAUGCGAUGUCUAUCACUUGGUAGAAUUUACUAAUCAUCUCAAUGUUUUACAGAUCCAGACAGAAACAGGGAAGUGGUAAUCAGUCUAAAGCUAGUGAAACUGAGUAUAUGUACACUGUAUAUAGGGUUCUUGAAAGUUGGAAUCAAGACAAAUUACAGGAAGAUGUUAAUUGCUUUAGUGUGAAAUCAGACCUUGGUCAACUUUUCCAACUCCAGGCUCACCUACCAGUAGGAUAGCAACUGAUGUGAACAUAAAGACGCGGAAAAGUUAUGUCAUCAUCAAUAUUCAUUAAUGGAGAAGAUGACAUAUGUAUUGCAGCAUAUUAGGCCAUUAGGUUAGCUAAUUUAAUCAUCUAAGAUCAUUAACUAAACCAUUCUCAUUCUCUUCCUAUUUCUUUAAUAAUCACCAUUGACUCACGUUGUCAGACAUCCAUUAAGCAUGCCGUUGUCUCUUUUAAAGUUUUUGUUUCUUCAUAUUUCUUUUCUGUUUUGGGUAACUUGUGUUGUUGAUUACGUGAGUGAUGCAGGGAGCAACAGUAUAUCCACCUCAUAUAAAUGUUGAUAUAUUGACUGACCAAAUUAUCCUGAGCUGCUGAAAUGGUAGACCAGUCAAGGCUUUUUGAUUAGGACUUAACUUAGGAAAAGGUCUGAAGCGAUGAGCUUGGGUCUGCCUAAUGCCUUUAUAAACUGAAAGCCAACAUGUGGGUGGAGUUUUAGAUGAAUUUGGAUUUUAGUAUUCAUCUUCAUCAUCAUCACUGUCACCUGACCAGAGAAGAAAGACUGACAGCAUUUGAUUUUGGAACAGAAGCAUUGGAAAGGUUUAGGAAGACGAAGACAGUCCGUCAUUAAUUUCAACAUCUGUCUUCUUACCCCACUUAUUAUCAUCAGUAAUCCCCUGUUUGUGUUUGUGCACUCAUCACACCAGGAGAUUUAUAUAUGUAUAAAUAUAUAUUAAUUCAAGGGUAUGUUGUAUGUAAUUAUAUAUUACAUAAUUAACUUAUUCCAGAUGGCUAGUUGUGAUAGAACUUUAAUAUGAUUUC